rnacentral:rRNA from 1 species
AAAUUGAAGAGUUUGAUCAUGGCUCAGAUUGAACGCUGGCGGCAGGCCUAACACAUGCAAGUCGAACGGUAACAGGAAACAGCUUGCUGUUUCGCUGACGAGUGGCGGACGGGUGAGUAAUGUCUGGGAAACUGCCUGAUGGAGGGGGAUAACUACUGGAAACGGUAGCUAAUACCGCAUAACGUCGCAAGACCAAAGAGGGGGACCUUCGGGCCUCUUGCCAUCGGAUGUGCCCAGAUGGGAUUAGCUUGUUGGUGGGGUAACGGCUCACCAAGGCGACGAUCCCUAGCUGGUCUGAGAGGAUGACCAGCCACACUGGAACUGAGACACGGUCCAGACUCCUACGGGAGGCAGCAGUGGGGAAUAUUGCACAAUGGGCGCAAGCCUGAUGCAGCCAUGCCGCGUGUAUGAAGAAGGCCUUCGGGUUGUAAAGUACUUUCAGCGGGGAGGAAGGGAGUAAAGUUAAUACCUUUGCUCAUUGACGUUACCCGCAGAAGAAGCACCGGCUAACUCCGUGCCAGCAGCCGCGGUAAUACGGAGGGUGCAAGCGUUAAUCGGAAUUACUGGGCGUAAAGCGCACGCAGGCGGUUUGUUAAGUCAGAUGUGAAAUCCCCGGGCUCAACCUGGGAACUGCAUCUGAUACUGGCAAGCUUGAGUCUCGUAGAGGGGGGUAGAAUUCCAGGUGUAGCGGUGAAAUGCGUAGAGAUCUGGAGGAAUACCGGUGGCGAAGGCGGCCCCCUGGACGAAGACUGACGCUCAGGUGCGAAAGCGUGGGGAGCAAACAGGAUUAGAUACCCUGGUAGUCCACGCCGUAAACGAUGUCGACUUGGAGGUUGUGCCCUUGAGACGUGGCUUCCGGAGCUAACGCGUUAAGUCGACCGCCUGGGGAGUACGGCCGCAAGGUUAAAACUCAAAUGAAUUGACGGGGGCCCGCACAAGCGGUGGAGCAUGUGGUUUAAUUCGAUGCAACGCGAAGAACCUUACCUGGUCUUGACAUCCACGGAAGUUUUCAGAGAUGAGAAUGUGCCUUCGGGAACCGUGAGACAGGUGCUGCAUGGCUGUCGUCAGCUCGUGUUGUGAAAUGUUGGGUUAAGUCCCGCAACGAGCGCAACCCUUAUCCUUUGUUGCCAGCGGUCCGGCCGGGAACUCAAAGGAGACUGCCAGUGAUAAACUGGAGGAAGGUGGGGAUGACGUCAAGUCAUCAUGGCCCUUACGACCAGGGCUACACACGUGCUACAAUGGCGCAUACAAAGAGAAGCGACCUCGCGAGAGCAAGCGGACCUCAUAAAGUGCGUCGUAGUCCGGAUUGGAGUCUGCAACUCGACUCCAUGAAGUCGGAAUCGCUAGUAAUCGUGGAUCAGAAUGCCACGGUGAAUACGUUCCCGGGCCUUGUACACACCGCCCGUCACACCAUGGGAGUGGGUUGCAAAAGAAGUAGGUAGCUUAACCUUCGGGAGGGCGCUUACCACUUUGUGAUUCAUGACUGGGGUGAAGUCGUAACAAGGUAACCGUAGGGGAACCUGCGGUUGGAUCACCUCCUUACCUUAAAGAAGC